rnacentral:sRNA from 1 species
CGAAAUCUAUAUUUUUGGAAAUCAAGUAACCCAUCGCCAUCGUAACCACUGUCUUAAUUAAGGAAGAGUUCAGUGUCGAACAUGCGGUAC